GGUCGUGGCGUGUCAAUCGGACAUUAAGGGGAUGGUAAACGCGGUAGUUUUUCCGAUUUCCUGCUGCGGGCAACGAAUUGCCAGUCGAGUAUCUUACCUUUACGCCGC
rnacentral:sRNA from 1 species